CUUCUCUCUCCUCUCCUUUCUCCUCUAUCUCCUCUAUCUCCUUUCUCUCGUUCAUCUUGCCUUCAUCUAUCAUCACCGAAGACAACCACCACCACAAUCAUGUCCACCAGGUUCCGACGUCAACCUUCUACACCUUUUGAUCUCCUUUUAGUUUCAAUUUCAAGUUUCAUCUAAACCCUAAUUGAAUCUUCGAUUAUUGAUUUUCUAACAACAAGAGGCGGUGGUGGAGGUGCGGAUGGACGCCCCUAUGGAGGCGAUGGGUUUUGGUAGGUCGUGACUGAUCGGAGGUUAGGGUUCACGUUUUCUUGUUGCCGUCGCCAUCGUGAGUUGUGGCUGCAACUUUUGCAUUUCUCAUUUUCUCGAUGCACUUUGCUAUGGAAUCAACAGCAUGAAGACCCACUCUGAUGCGUUGAGUGCAGCUUUUUAACAGCUAUAGCUGAUCUGGUUUUGUCAAUGACAUGAGUACUGAGAUCCUUCGCAAACUGAUGCAUGAGUUGUGUCACAUUUCCUGUCAUGAAUACUUAAACUUGUGUAGUUUAGUCCAUCUUGGGGAAGCUUACUUGUUGUUCUUCUAGUUAGGUGUGUUUGGUUCAACCAAAGCCAGAAAUCGAUCUUCAGUUUGAAUCGACUAAGCUGAUCACUCCUUGGGGCUAUCUUAGUGCAAUAGCCUUGGGACAACUUUUGGAACAAUUUCUUUGACAAGUGGUUUCUUUGUCAAGCCUGGUGCAACAUUCGGUGACUACCUGGCUAAGAUACACGAGAGAACUAUGAAUUAGAGGCAACACGAUCAACUCCUCAUUGGCAAUAUUUCGAUGGUAAAAGUUUUUGGGGUCUUUAGUCGAACUAAUGUUGUAUUUAGUUAUGAAAUAAGAUGUUUUAGUAUUAUCUUCUUUUAUAUCAACUAUUGUUUUCAAGCCGUGAUUUGGGGCUUUAGUUAAACUGAUGUUGUAUUUAGUUAUGAAAUAUGAUUAUUUAGUUAUAUUUUCUU